GACGAACGCUGGCGGCGUGCUUAACACAUGCAAGUCGAACGGAAAGGCGCUGCCUUUGUGGGGUGCUCGAGUGGCGAACGGGUGGGUAACAUGUGAGUAACCUGACCUUGCCUUUGGGAUAACUUCAGGAAACUGGGGCUAAUACCGGAUAGGAGCUCCUGAUGCUUGGUGGGGGUUGGAAAGUUUCGGCGGUUGGGGAUGGACUCGCGGCUUAUCAGCUUGUUGGUGGGGUAGUGGCUUACCAAGGCUUUGACGGGUAGCCGGCCUGAGAGGGUGACCGGCCACAUUGGGACUGAGAUGCGGCCCAGACUCCUACGGGAGGCAGCAGUGGGGAAUAGUGCGCAAUGGGCGGAAGCCGGAUGCAGCAACGCCGCGUGCGGGAUGACGGCCUUCGGGUUGUAAACCGCUUUCGCCUGUGACGAAGCGUGAGUGACGGUAAUUGGUAAAGAAGCGCCGGCUAACUACGUG
rnacentral:rRNA from 1 species